CCUACGGGUGGCUGCAGUGAGGAAUAUUGGUCAAUGGACGCAAGUCUGAACCAGCCAUGCCGCGUGCAGGAAGACGGCUCUAUGAGUUGUAAACUGCUUUUGUACGAGGGUAAACGCAGAUACGCGUAUCUGUCUGAAAGUAUCGUACGAAUGAGGCUCGGCUAACUACGUUCCAGCAGCCGCGGUAAUAAGGAGGAUUCAAGCGUUAUCCGGAGUUAUUGGGUUUAAAGGGUGCGUAGGCGGUCGGUUAAGUUAGAGGUGAAAUCCCGCGGCUCAACUUCGGAAUUGCCUGUGAUACUGUUCGGCUAGAGAGUAGGUGCGGUAGGCGGAAUGUAGGGUGUAGCGGUGAAAUGCGUAGAGAUCAUACAGAACACCGAUUGCGAAGGCAGCUUACCAAGCUACUUCUGACGUUGAGGCACGAAAGCGUGGGGAGCAAACAGGAUUAGAUACCCCAGUAGUC
rnacentral:rRNA from 1 species